rnacentral:lncRNA from 1 species
AUGGGAGACUGGAAAAGAUGGCCUUUAAGGAUCGUCCCAACCAGGAGAUUUUCUAAUUCCAUGAGGUGUAGCCAACUCUCCGUUUUGCUUUCUGACUUAAAUAAGGAGGAGACAUCAUUCACGUCUGGGUCAAGAGGUCCACCCCUCAAACAAGAACAGCACCUUGCAAAAUAUUUUACUAUUUUCCUCGUAAUGAAUAAUUUUCACAAUAACAAGAAGAAACCUCUGGAUCCAUGCCAUCGCAUUCCAUCUGGCUGCCUCACCUGGUGGGGAGGAGGCUGUGAGAGAGUGCUAACGCUGAGGCACCAGCCUGGACCAGCCGUCUGCUCACUGAGGUGCAGUAAGGGGUGGAGUUGGGGACUGGUGUGCCAGGAUCUCCUGCCCCACUGA